rnacentral:misc_RNA from 1 species
GAUGAAGAACGCAGCGAAAUGCGAUAAGUAAUGUGAAUUGCAGAACUCAGUGAAUCAUCGAGUCUUUGAACGCACAUUGCGCCCCCUGGUAUUCCGGGGGGCAUGCCUGUCCGAGCGUCAUUGCUGCCCUCAAGCACGGCUUGUGUGUUGGGCCUCCGUCCUCCUCCCGGGGGACGGGCCCGAAAGGCAGCGGCGGCACCGCGUCCGGUCCUCGAGCGUAUGGGGCUUCGUCACCCGCUCUUGUAGGCCCGGCCGGCGCUUGCCGACACAUCAAUCUUUUUUCCAGGUUGACCUCGGAUCAGGUAGGGAUACCCGCUGAACUUAAGCAUAUCAAUAAGCGAGGA